CUGUCUCUUUGACCUAAUAGUAACUUUUAAAGAACGACUGUAUAUCAUUUUUGGUGUCCUAAACACACCUUUAUCAGUAACUCCAUGUUCCUUUCCUUUUCCUUUCCAUUUCUUUUUCUUUCUUUCUUCUAUUAGGAUUCACUCUUUUUUUAAAAGCUUCCAUGUCUUUCUGUUAUUCCUGACACAAAGUGGUUUUGAUUCCCUGGGACUACCUCAGACAUUGAACAUGAAACCUGAAAAUUAUUCUUUUCCUUGUCUAGUCCAUCAGUUCCUGGACUUGAGAGGGCUGCUUUUACAUCAAGUUGGUAUCACCAGUUUUAUUAAUUUCCAUCAAUAAUUGAGUUUGUGUUAAUAGUUAGAGGUGAUAACAGGUGCCAGGAUGGUGUCUGCUCUAGAUGUAUAGAUGUAUAGAGACUUGAGGAGUGAGAUUAAUAUCCAGAGGUAGAAAAUUGUGGAAGUAUGGAAGACUGUAGGAUGACAUAGAUCAAGGGUUAAAAGGGAGAGUAUUCGUCUGAUGAUAUAGGCAUUGGUGAGGGAAUUUGCCAGAGAACACUGACGUCCAAAAAAGGCUAACAAUAUACAAAUCUAGGCAGAAUUGGUACGGUGAAAUUUGCCUAGGAAAGUUAAGAUGCUUGAACAUCCAUGUUUCAAAAAGGACCGACGGUCAUAUAUGCUGUGUAUGCAUAUAGAGCUGGAAAACUCUCAAUGCUCUGGACUUGUGAACUUGAGGAGCAUGUGCAUGAAUGGAGAUGAAUAAUGAGAAAGUGACAAUGCAAUAGGAAGUUGAUGGGUGCAUGCCUGAACGGAGGGAAUGUUUUCAGAAAUACAAAGGAUAGAAAUUUUUCAGUGACCUGUGUGGAAUGAAUUUGAAUAAAAUGAAUAAAUUAACAACUGGGCCUCUAGAAUGUAAGAUUCUGCUCCUAUCUAUUACUCAAGUUUUCAAAUGAGAUAUGUAAUAAAACACAGCACCUGUGGAUGUUGCUUUCAUUUACCAUAAAUUUCUCCUAAGGCAAUAUCUUCCUAUGUUGAGGGAAUUCAUUUAAGUGCUUAUUAAUUUUCUAAAACUUGGAUAUACCAAAAUGAUUAGUAAAUCAGAGAGGUCUGGGGUGAGGCUCAGUGGUACAUCAACUGCUAAACAUUCAAAAGGAUGUGGGUACAGGCCCAAAGUUGAGAAAAUAACAAACAAACAACAAGUCAAAGAAAUAUGAGGAUACACUUCAUUGGUAUGUGUAAGUAUUUAUGGAUUUAAUAAAGUUAAUCAAAAUUUCAAGAAAAGAUUUUCUUCAUCAAAUGUUUAUUUUACAUAAAAGGGAUAAAAUAAAGUGCAUGUAAUUAUACAUUUUAUUAUUUUUUGCUACAGACUGACCACAUGAUUGGUGAAGGGCACAAAACAAAGUGGUAUAUGAAGCACAACACAGGUUCCACAGAAUUAUUUGAUUCAUUAGGUGUAACAGUACAGUUGAUAUUGUCUUGGAGAUGAGAUUUUCCUGUGUUUCACACACUGGCCUUGACACCUGGAUUCAAUCAAAAGCCAUAUCACAUGAUUGUGGAUUCUAGCCAGGCUCCUUGGAGCUCUUUUUAAACAUAGGGGAGAAGCAAAAUCAUCCUCAUCAUCCAAUUAACCAGUUUAAUGACUCCAAUUUGGGAACUUUAAUUAAAGAAACAUUUAUAAGUUAUUUUUAAACAUUUUUCUCACACUUUUAUAGAAAUAUUUUGAUUUGUGGAUGUGAUUAUCAACCCAGACAUUUUGGGCCAAAACCUUCAAACCCAUUGUGGAAAACAUGUAUAUCAUGAGUGGGAUGUUUGCUUUCAUUCAAUAGUUGUAAAAUAGGUUUUCCAGAGAAGUUGUACUACAAACAUUACCUUAUUCUAGUGCCCAUGCUUCCUUCAUCCAUUUUGUUUUUCUGGGAAGAGAAUCUUUGAUUUUGAUAGUUGGCUUGCUAUGCUUAAAGUUAAGAUAUUAUAUAAACAUUUUACAUUUUAUCCAGCAUGCAUUUAAUUGUGUAACAUAAACAUAGAAGACAAAUUACCUGGCUAGAAACCUGUGAGUCUUGAGGUACUGAACUGAAAAUGAGAUAUACUCAACAAAACCUGAAUAUAACAAUACUACCCUCAUGUUUCUACUGAAUGAAAAUGGACCCGAGUCCCAGUGGUUGUCACUGAUAAAGACUAUUUUAGCUUUGGUUUCUAUGUAUGUAUGUAGCUUAUUGUUGAGUACAGCCACAUCAUUGAAAUGUACUAAAUCAAAAUUGGGAAUAUCAGUUAAUAAAUCUUGCAGUUAUGUUUCUUGUGGUAAGAAUACCUUUGUGGGUGCUAAAAGCAUGCACUGGUGAAAGGAUAGCAUCUUCAACAAAUGGUGCUAGAAAAACUGGAAAUCCAUAUGCAACAAAAUGAAAUUGAAUCCCUAUCUCUCACCAUGCACAAAAGUUAACUCAAAAUGGAUCAAGGAUCUAGGAAUUAAACCAGAGACUCUGCAUCUAAUAGAAUAAAAAGUAGGCCCUAAUCUCCAUCAUGUGGGGCUAGGCCCCAAUUUCCUUAAUAAGACACCUAUAGCACAAGAAUUAAAACCAAGAAUCAACAAAUGGGAUGAAUUCAAACUAAAAAGUUUUUUCUCAGCAAGAGAAAUAAUAUGUGAGGUGAAUAGGGAGCCUAUAUCCUGGGAACAAAUCUUUACCCCUCACACAUCAGAUAGAGCUCUAAUCUCUAGGGUUUAAAAAGAACUCAAAAAGCUAAACACCAAAAAAAACCCAAAUAACCCAAUCAACAAAUGGGCCAAGGACCUGAACAUCCAUUUCUCAGGAGAGGAUAUACAAUCAAUCAACAAAUUUAUGAAAAAAUGCUCAUCAUCUCUAGCAAUCAUAGAAAUGCAAACUAAAACUACUCUAAGAUACCAUCUCACUCCAGUAAGAAUGUCAGCCAUGAUUAAAACAAACAAUAACAAGUGCUGACAAGCAUGUGGGAAAAAAGGAACCCUCAUACACUGUUGGUGGGACUGCAAAUUGGUGCAGCCAAUUUGGAAAGCAGCAUGGAGAUUCCUUGGAAAGCUGCAAAUGGAACCACCAUUUGACCCAGCUAUUCCUCUUCUCAGACUAUACCCAAAGGAGUUAAAAACAGCAUACUACAGGGACACAGCCACAUCAGUAUUUAUAGCAGCACAAUUCACAAUAGCUAACUUGUGGAACCAACCUAGAUGCCCUUCAGUGGAUGAAUGGAUAAAAAAAUGUGGCAGAUGUACACAAUGGAAUAUUACUCAGCACUAAAAAAUAAUAAGAUCAUGGCAUUUGCAGGGAAAUGGAUGGCAUUAGAUCAGAUUAUGCUAAGUGAAUUUAGCCAAUCCCAAAAAAACAAAUGCCAAAUGUCUUUUCUGAUAUAAGGGGGGUGACUCAAAAUGGGGAAGAGAGGAAGAGCAUGGGAAGAAGACUACCCAAUAUAGGGAAGAGGGGUUGGAGGGAAAGGGAGGGAAAAGGGGAAUUGCAUGGAUGGUGGAAGGAGACCCUCAUUGUUAUACAAAAUACAUGUAUGAAGAUGUGAGAAAAAAAGAAUAGUGUUACCCUAGAUUAGGUAGAGAGAAGUGAUGGGAGGGGAGGAGAGGGGAUGGGGAGACAGGAAGGAUAGUAGAAUGAAACAGACAUUAUUAUUACUGUGUGUAUAUAUGUGAAUGCAUGGUCAAUGUGAAUCUACCACCUGUAUACUCAGAAAAAUGAGAUAUUGUAUCCCAUGUGAUUCAAAUGUAUGAUAUGUCAAGGUCAUUGUACUGUCAUGUGUAACUAAUUAAAACAAAUAAUGAAAAAG
rnacentral:lncRNA from 1 species